rnacentral:rRNA from 1 species
AUUGAACGCUGGCGGCAGGCCUAACACAUGCAAGUCGAACGAGUGGCGGACGGGUGAGUAAUGUCUGGGAAACUGCCUGAUGGAGGGGGAUAACUACUGGAAACGGUAGCUAAUACCGCAUACCAUCGGAUGUGCCCAGUUGGGAUUAGCUAGUUGGUGGGGUAACGGCUCACCUAGGCGACGAUCCCUAGCUGGUCUGAUAGGAUGACCAGCCACACUGGAACUGAGACACGGUCCAUACUCCUACGGGAGGCAGCAGUGGGGAAUAUUGCACAAUGGGCGCAAGCCUGAUGCAUCCAUGCCGCGUGUAUGAAGAAGGCCUUCGGGUUGUAAAGUACUUUCAGCGGGGAGGCGUUACCCGCAGAAGAAGCACCGGCUAACUCCGUGCCAGCAGCCGCGGUAAUUC